AUUGUUUUGGAUUUUCACUCUCCAGACAGAAUUCCCUAAAGGUUUGAAUGAUACCAACUCUUAUGACUGGUUUUUUAUAAAUCUGUUGUAUUUCUUUAAAUGCGACUCAUGAGUUCAAUGUUACACACUGCUUUGUAGAAUACCUGUGUGAGUUUCUUGGCUAUUUAAACAACAGGUUGAGCCAUUUAGGCUCAUACUCGCAGUAGAAUAAAACCUUAUGCAGAGUAUCUUUGAUUUGAAACAGAAUGCUUUGUUCCACGACAUCUAUGAAAGACUGUAUGGUUUAUUGAGUACAUGCUUGAAUUGUUUGAACUAAAUAACAAAACCACAGAAGCCAGACAGACCCACCAUGGAAGGAUUUCCAAGGUGCUGAAGGGCGAGGAAGCGAUCAAGGAAGCAUUCAUCCAUCUCCUGAUAGUAAAGCACAUGGCAGCAAGCAGUUCCAUGGUCAGCUAUUUAUAACAUGUUAUUUCUAAGCUUUAUCCUGAAGGCAUCUAUUAUGGCACAAAAUCAGUGGGUGUCUUGAUAGCAAAUAAGCACUCUGUCCAUAUUGUCCUAUUUCCCAAAAAUCACUGCUUCUUCCAUUAAAGUUGCAUUAUUUGGCAGAUACAAAUUUAGGACCUUGGGUAGUUCCUUUCUGUAAGGUUAAUCGGAUGUUUUAUUUUGCACAUAAUUUAUUGUGACAUCAAUGAUGUUUCCCAUAUGAAAAGGAGUGGCAUAGUUCCAUUCAGGAAUAAAAUACAUUGCAAUGGUUAUGCUUAUUUUUAUUUCUCUCACUUUCCUUCUCAUUCAAACAUUACGGAUGAGUCAUACUAGUUAUCUCUAGGCAGCCGCAUGCAUACACACAAUCAUAAUCUCAUUUUAAAAGUCUUUGUCCAUUAUAUGCAUGGAAAGAAUUUUACCUGAACCUCUGAUAUUAAAGAGAGAAAAAACUGCAAACCUAUUUGUAUAAGCUUGAAUCUGG